GUGUGUGUGUGUGUGUGUGUGUGUGUGUGUGUGUAAGCAAGCAGAGCUUAGUUGACUUACUGCUCUCUGCUCUCCUUCACUCUACUGGGACAGCUUUUAAUGGCUUCAUGUCUGCUGACUUCGCAGGAAUAAUGUCGGCCAGCAAUAUGACUUCAGAUUAGAGCUUUUCUACAGAAACUGAUGGCAUCUUGAAGCUGGGCACCAUGAGGUUGUUUCCACUGUGGCUGCUGAUGUUCGGGGUCUUUCAAAGAACCACUUCUCAGUUUCCUGGGUGGAUUGGUGAGAUGGAAGGUAGUGGUAAGAUGUCCUCUAAUGCAAGUAUCGUGUUAUUUUUUCAAACAUGGUCUGCUAUCUAAGUCGGGAUACAUUUUUCCUUGCAUAACAGCAGCUCCACAACAUCAACCAGGACUCAUAGAUGCAAGGAAACACACAUUUAACACAUUACUAUCACUGAAGACACUAUGUUCAGGACCCUUAGACGUACAUUUCACCUGGGAUUUAACUUUUAUUAUAGGACUGACUGGAGCACACACGAGUGGUUUAGUCUAACUGUAUUGAGUCGUGAGACCCUGUGUCUCUGAUUUUAUAUAUUUGCUGUUCAGUACAUGAUUGGGAUCAGAGAUAAUGUUGGCCAGCCUCAAUAUGUAUCCAUGGUAGGCUGGUUAAUAGAUUUUCUCUCUGUAUAAGAAAUAAAAACUCUUUGUGGCAAAGCCUGAAAUAAUUUCCAGUUUGUGGUUUGCAUUAAAACAUAGUUUUGUCCAGCUAUGGUAAACAGCUGAUACAUUUCAUUUUGUACUGUAGGUGAGACGGUAUGGAUUUCCCAACCAGAUUUCAUAGAGGACAUCUAUUGGUCCGGGUCAGCGCCUCUUUGUUUAGGAGGCUGUAAGGCUCAACACGCGGAGCUGAGGAAGGACCGCUGUGGAGACUCGAGCUGCUGCUGGCUCGGAUACAAGUCCCUGUGCAGAGUGAACUGUGGGAGGCCUGAUGUGGACUAUAACGGACAGGUGUUUGGUACCGACUGGUGGGUGGGCUCUGUGCUGAGGUACACCUGUCGCCCUGGCUUCAUGCUGGUGGGGAACCCGACCAGAACCUGCCAGUCUGACGGCCUCUGGACCCCGAGACCUACCUGCCUCAGAAUGUGUCAGCAGGGACGCGUUGAGGUCAGUGAGAGGGAACUAAACGGGACGUGUAACUCCACCUGUGAGAACAAGAGCUACUUCGGCCCUCCAAAACUGGGCUGCUCUCGGUUAGACAACUGCAGGGGCAAAGAGACCGGCUGGAAGCGGUUCUUUGCACAGUGUGUCCCUUGCAUAUGCGAAUGUGCUUUGUCAUGUGGUGAGUUGCUUCCCCGCCACUCUGUCAAACAUAAAGGACGAACUGUAUAAGGAGACCAUGUUGCGAUGUUGUCUCACUGCCAAUGCACUUCCAUGUGGUUAAUUAUUGCUUAAAAUGUGAUCACAAUGACAGCUUGUACGCUGCAGAGCCACGCAUGUUUUGCUGCUUCAUCCUAUUUUGUGGAAAGUCAGAGGACUUAAAUCCAAAUCUUUUGAGACAUUGCUUUUAUAUCUCUGCCACACAGAAGCUAACAAUUUCCUCUUGGUUUUUAUUUAAGGAUUUUACACCGUGACUAAAAGAUUUCAUGUUCAAAUCCCUCCGUGUCAGGAAAUAUUAACUGCUAGAUUCAGUCGAUUUGUGUCACGUGAGGUGGCAGACGGGUCAUGAAAAGAAAGUGGGGUGACUUUUAACAGUCUCUGAGAGGCUGUGUCAGACUUGGGUCAAAUAUUUAUUUGAAAUAGAAUUCAAUAUUGUCUUAAAUAAAAAGUUUAACGUGGAGAGCCA